UGCCUAGCUCAGUUCACACAGCUACCAAGUUAGCACAGCUAGGCAUCGGAAGUUAAAUAUUUUCGUUUUUUGUUUUCAUAAAAAAAAUGGAAUGAGAUUAAUAUACCAUCUAAAUUUUGUGUCUUUUUUGUAAAUUCUCUGUUGAUCGCCGAAGAAAGAUGUACGAAGAAGAAAUGUUUCUUUCAGACAUCAGAAGUGGAAGGAUGAAGGGAGUGUGGUCCAAAGGAUAGCCAAGACUGAAGGAGGACGUCAAACAACAGGCUUCGAAUUCCUCUUGAAGCCACAGUCCUCUUAAAGCUUGAAGACAUCCAUUAAGGACACUCUGAGAAGUAUUAUCCUGCCCGGAACUUCCAACAGACUCUCCGACGAUCAGUGCCACUGUCAUGUGCUUGUAUCGUAAUUGUGAAGUGUACUGUCCUUCCUGUUCAUCUUUAUCCUUCUCGUUGACUCAAGACGUACUGGUUCAAGCCUAAAAAAUGAAGUGACCUCUGCUUUCGGACAAAGCUGGAUAACCAAGAAGCGCUUCGAUUAAAGAAAUCCAUGCCGAGUCCUGGAGCUAGAGGAUUAGCUUCUGUGGAACCAUUAACUCCAUGUUCAAAUGUACGUCCCAGGAACCUUUUGGCAAAAUUUGUUUGGCAAAUUAUACAAAUGCAGUUUACACUUUAAACACUUCUAUAUAACUUGGCAUGUUUAAAAACACAAAACUAAAACUAAAUACGAUGACUAAAUACGUUUGAAGUUUGGCAAAAAUCACAACUUGCUUAACAAACACCCUUGAGACGAUAUGAAACAUAAUGCUUGAGACGAUAUAUAUAUAUAUAUCUUUUUGAUAUAAGGCCCACUUUUAGAGACGAUCUAAUGGACAAUAGGGACACAUAAUCAUAACACUUGAUCCAUAACUGAGACGAUAUGAACCGGUCUGAGACAGAAUAGGGACCGAUUUAAAACGCAACUUAAUGUUAAUAAUGCUUGGCUUUCUUAAAACACAACUUUCCAAGACUUUUCAACAAACUCUCACACACAACACACAAUAGACACUCUCUUGGGAAGUUGUGUUGUCUGAAAUAUAUUUAAUAAUGUUUAUAUUUUA